AAAAAAAUAAAAACUCUAGGUUUUUGCGUCACAAUCGCAGUUGCAUAUACUAAACAAAAUCGAAAGCUGGUGAUCAAAUCCAGAAGAAAACUCUAGGUUUUUCCGUCACAACCACAGUUGCAUAUACUAAACAAAAUCGAAAGCUGGUGAUCAAAUCCAGGGUGCGAUUUUUCGUUGUCUUCCUUCUUCCGUCAAUUUCAAUUGCAUCUUCCGGUGCUAUUUUCAGUACAAUAGGUAAUAUUUAUAUCCAUUACGAAUAUUGAAAUAAAACAGAGACGUGAGAAGGGAGAGAAAGAAUUCUCUCAUGGAAAUCAGGCAUAAGUUUUAUUUUUUAGUUUCAUUCUGAUUUUACAAUCAAUUAUUUGGGUUGCUACUGCUACAAAACCCUAAUUUAGACUGGGAUUCAUCUUUUUGUGGGUUUUGAGUUACACCAAGCACAUCCGCAGUUGUAAGACUCAAAUAUUGUUGAUCUCCUUACAUUCAAAAAAAAUGCGGGAGUAGGGCAGGCAAUGGAGUUGCAGAUGAAGCCACAGAUGCAAAGCCAGAAAGAGCGAGAAUGGUGAGUUCACAUGACUGUGCUUGAGUUACACCAAGCACAUCCGCAGUUGUAAGACUCAAAUAUUGUUGAUCUCCUUACAUUCAAAAAAAAUCCGGGAGUAGGGCAGGCAAUGGAGUUGAAGAUGAAGCCACAGAUGCAAAGCGAGAAAGAGCGAAAAUGUGUGUAGUAUUCUUUUGGGGAAAGCCGAAAGACGAACUAUCCUUUCUGUUAAUGAGCAAUAAGAACAAAGGUGAUCGUUAAUGCAGCUUUACAAGAUUAAAU